rnacentral:rRNA from 1 species
UCAGGAUGAACGCUGGCGGCGUGCCUAACACAUGCAAGUCGAACGGAGUUUUAACGGAAGUUUCGGAUGGAAGUUUAAGAACUUAGUGGCGGACGGGUGAGUAACGCGUGGGUAACCUGCCUCAUACAGGGGGAUAACAGUUAGAAAUGACUGCUAACACCGCAUAAUAUAGUGAAACCGCAUGAUUUUUGCUAUCAAAUAUUUAUAGGUAUGAGAUGGGCCCGCGUCUGAUUAGCUAGUUGGUGGGGUAAAGCCUACCAAGGCGACGAUCAGUAGCCGGCUUGAGAGAGUGACCGGCCACAUUGGGACUGAGACACGGCCCAAACUCCUACGGGAGGCAGCAGUGGGGAAUAUUGGACAAUGGGGGAAACCCUGAUCCAGCGACGCCCGCGUGAGUGAAGAAGUAUUUCGGUAUGUAAAGCUCUAUCAGCAGGGAAGAUAAUGACAGUACCUGACUAAGAAGCCCCGGCUAACUACGUGCCAGCAGCUGC